GGUAAAAUGGCCGAGUAAGCAUUAGACUGUAAAUCUAAGUACAGAGGUUCAAGUCCUCUUUUUGCCA
rnacentral:tRNA from 1 species